rnacentral:rRNA from 1 species
GAUGAACGCUGGCGGCGUGCCUAAUACAUGCAAGUCGAGCGAACGGACGAGAAGCUUGCUACUCUGAUGUUAGCGGCGGACGGGUGAGUAACACGUGGAUAACCUACCUAUAAGACUGGGAUAACUUCGGGAAACCGGAGCUAAUACCGGAUAAUAUUUUGAACCGCAUGGUUCAAAAGUGAAAGACGGUCUUGCUGUCACUUAUAGAUGGAUCCGCGCUGCAUUAGCUAGUUGGUAAGGUAACGGCUUACCAAGGCAACGAUGCAUAGCCGACCUGAGAGGGUGAUCGGCCACACUGGAACUGAGACACGGUCCAGACUCCUACGGGAGGCAGCAGUAGGGAAUCUUCCGCAAUGGGCGAAAGCCUGACGGAGCAACGCCGCGUGAGUGAUGAAGGUCUUCGGAUCGUAAAACUCUGUUAUUAGGGAAGAACAUAUGUGUAAGUAACUGUGCACAUCUUGACGGUACCUAAUCAGAAAGCCACGGCUAACUACGUG